rnacentral:lncRNA from 1 species
UAUGUAUUCUUCUGUUAUGAAUAGAGUACAAAGUUCUACUGACAGGGCAUCCAGUACUUCUAGAUUGUCUGUGUUAGGGAACUGGUCUCCUGCCAAGAGUAGAGAACAAAGUCCUACUGCCAUGGCUGCAGGACUUACUCAUCACCAAUCAGGACUAGUAGCCCCAACAUAAGAGUAACAGCUGAUGCUGACUCUGAUGUGUGGUGU